rnacentral:rRNA from 1 species
UACAGAGGGUGCAAGCGUUGUUCGGAAUUAUUGGGCGUAAAGCGCGUGUAGGCGGCCGAGAAAGUCGCGUGUGAAAUCCCUCAGCUUAACUGAGGAAGUGCGCGCGAAACUCCUUGGCUUGAGUGCUGGAGAGGAUGGCGGAAUUCCGCAAGUAGAGGUGAAAUUCGUAGAUAUGCGGAGGAACACCGGUGGCGAAGGCGGCCAUCUGGACAGCCACUGACGCUGAGACGCGAAAGCGUGGGGAGCAAACAGG